rnacentral:lncRNA from 1 species
GGAAGUUCCCAGGCUGGGGGUUAAAUUGAAGCUGCAGUUGCUGGCCUACACCACAAUCACAGCAAUAUGUGAUUCAAGCCACAUCUUUGACCUAUACCAUAGCUCGAGACAAUGCUGGAUCCUUAACCCACUGAGCAGGGCCAAGGAUUAAGCCCAUGUCCUCAUGGAUACUAGUCAGCUUCUUUUCCACUAAGCCGCAGCGGGAACUCUGGCAAUUCAUUUUUUCUGGUUCUGGUGAGAGCUUCACCCAAUAAAUGAUGUUUAUUCAUAGAUGUGAAGAUAACUUAGACCAGAAUACUUAAAGCCAGAACUCCCUGGAGACCAUGACUGGGCUUUCCAUGAUCUUGAAUACAUUUAUUAACUGGGUAAAAAAGUACACACAAGAGACACACAUCUCUUCAAAAUUCACUUAGAAGCUGGAUGGAGAAUGUAACUAUUAAUUUGACUGUAGAGUAACUUCCUGGCUAUAGCCUGCUUAUUUCAGUAAACCAAGGAAACAUAUUUGUGACAAGCAAAAAGCAAAUCGGCCGCCUUUAGCAUUUGUGUUAUUGGAGGCUUCCGCAAAACUGGGACAUGAGCAAUUUCCUUUUGUUCCAGUCAUUGUCUAAGUGAUGAAAGAGAGAGGUCUCGCUAAAAUUACAGAAAAUCAGAAAAGGCGCAAUAUUAUGUUUAGAAUACUCUCAAGAUUAUAGCUGAAAUUUGUCACCCAGAUCUUUUUGUCUCCGCCAAAUGGUACUGACUCAUUUUGAUGGUGGCUGAAGAGAUGAAGCCAGCAUUAAUGGACAGAACACCAGGCACAAAGGUGAUUAUUCCUACCUUAGCCACAUACUUUUGUGUUCUUGGGAUUUUCUGAGCUUGCUUUCUCCCGUGUUAACUGGCAGUAACAACUACCUCUUGCUAUUGGGCGUUUGUGAAAGAGUAGGCAGUGUUUCUAAAAGUUGUUUUAGGUUGCUAAACAGAGAAAAGAGAAAUACAAAGCGUAUUUACAUCAGUUAUUGCUCUGACUUUUUAAAAUUUGUCUCACUACCAUUUCUUAGCAAGUAGAUAGUUUAAUGAGAUAGGCCUCUUUUUUCCUAAUACAUUUUUAAAUCCCCUUAUUUCAAGUUAUAUAAUGUUUUAAAAAAUUGUAAACUCAUUAUAUAAUAAUUUUGUAAUUGUAAAACAAAUGUAAGUUUAUCAAUUAUAUUUCAUGGGACUAAGAAACAUGAUCUCCUACUCACAUUCUUUCCAGCUCUGAAGUGAAAAGCCAUUGAGCUGACCUGGGGUGAAUUCGCCUUAACUGCUUAUAUCUGAGUAACCUUGGUUAAGUCCCCAAUGCUGCUGAUUUGUUUCCUCAUAUAGAAAAUAUCCUCAUAUAGAAUAAAUCACGUCCUCUAGGAUUGGUGUAAGGGUUAAAUGAGACGGUACCUGUGAUAAUAGCCAUUUCAGAACUUGGUAUGUAAUAAGUAUUCAGCAAUGUCUAGACAAUCUUUAGAUUUAUCUGUUUGAUCAGGCCACAGAAAAAGAAGGAAGAUUAAAAAUAAAUAAUAGUGGACUAGUCCUUAAAUUCAAAUAAAGACUCUGAGAUCCUUAGGGUAUCUUAUACAGUUUUUGGCCCUUUUCUUCCAAAAUAGAGACAGCAGAAUGACCUUAAAAGUUUUACUUUAUCCUUCCUAGAUUUGUUUAAUUACAUGCAAGAUUCUUCCAAAGAACUGCUACUCUGACCUUAACAAAGCCACAUCUAUGGGUCAAAACAUAGUCGUAAUUGGUCUCUGCCUUCCAAUACCUAAAAUUUAGAAAACUCAAAAUAAUGUAAAUCUAAUGAUUAUGAAACUCAGAUACUUUUUUUGUGCGUGUUAUGUUUUCUGCCUUCAUGAAGAGGGAGUAAAUGAGAUGUCAGAGAUUUAUUCCAAAAACAAUCUGUGGGAUGUGUCAGAUUCAGAUUAUAAUGAUAACUCUUUUGACCUCCUAAGAGUUACCAGGGUUCUCCACAUGUAAAACAUGCUCACCAGAAGUUCCUGUUGUGGCACAGAGGAAAUAAAUCAGACUAAUAUCCAUGAAGAUGUGGGUUCAAUCCCUGGCCUUGCUCAGUGGGUUAAGGAUCCAGUGUUGCCGUGAGCUCUGGCAUAGGUCACAGAUGCGGCUUAAAUCCUUUGUUGCUAUGGCUGUGGUGUAGGCCAGCAGCUGCAGCUCCAGUUGGACCCCUAGCCUGGGAACUUCCAUUUACCACGGCUGUGGCCCUAAAAAGAAAAAAAAAAAAAAAUGCUCACCAGAUGCCCAUGGGUAGCACACUGGUAGCUGAAUGAUCACGGCUGUUAUUCAGUAGCCCAACAUUUCUCCUUCCAGGAAUCUUUCGUUUGUUCCUAAAUAUGUGUUUGCCAGUUGUUAUUAUAAAUGCACAAUUUAAAUAGACAUUAAAUAACCAAUGAAAUAUAAAUAAAAGAUAGUUAUUGUUUCUAUGAAAACUAGGUUAAGCAAUUUGGAUAGACUUGGUAAAGGUGCUUGCCAGAAAUAAUUCCUGCAGAAAUAGGUUUGGUGAAGUUACUGUAAAAGAUAUUGAUAGGCAGGAUCAGAAAAAUCUAGAAGUAUUCUGGACCCAUAUUAUUUCAUGUUUCACUCUAAGAUGGAAACUAGAAAUUAUAGAUACUGCAUUAAGGGUAUGGUACAUCAAAGGAAUCUACAAACAAUUGACUCACACCCUAUACUUCAUUCAAAGAUGGCAAAUGAAUGGACAUUUACAUGUUUCAAGUUAAAUAUACAAAUAGAUCUGUGUGUGUUUAAGUCUACACUUUAUCAGUCAGGGUUCAGUCAGGGAAACAGAGCCACUGUGAAUGUUAUGUGAAUAAAGAGUUUAUUUUAGGAAUUAGAAAUUGCAAAUGGGAGAACUGGGAAAGGAGAGUUCUGAAAGAAAAGCAGAAGCUCAUGGAGUCACUAACAAGUCAUCCUAAAAUACUGAUGUGGAAGCCAACCAUGGCUGUUCCUGAGGUGAGACUUCACCUCAGGGAGAGGUCUAUGGGGAACUGUCACCUAAGGGAGGCUGCCUCGGUGGAGCUGCAGCCAACCUCUGCAGGUGGCCCUGGAAUCAUUCUCAGACAGGAGUCAGGACAAAAAGCUAGAACAGAGGAGAGCAGGAACAAGUGAGGAUCCACAUUGGCACCUGUGACAAUCUGUCACUGUUUCUGAGUGCAGCAACAUGCCAAGGGUAGUGGCUGUUUCUUUACCCCCACCUCCCAAAUCUCACACCACCAUCCUCCCAUCUCCCAAUUCUAAUCUAGAACCAUAAAGAGAAGGAGAUUUGGGAAAACCAAAGGUUAACCAAAUUGACAAAGCCCAACCCUACACACCCCCCUUAAAUGAUUCUUUCAGUUAACCAACUAAUCAUGGGUCCAAGUCAUUGGGAUAAAGAGGGAUUCUACUGUUGUUAAUUCUACCAUCUACAUGGAAGUAUGUUGAUAAAUAAUGUUAGGAAAUUAUGCCUUAAGGUCUUAUCAUCUACUAUUGUGUCUUCAGAAUUAAGAGUCAAAAGUUGAGUUAUUAGGAGAUCCCAUGGUGGCGCAGCAGAAACAAUCCGAGUAGGAAUUGCGGGUUCAAUCCUUGGCCUCGAUCAGUGGGUUAAGGAUUGCGGGUUCAAUCCUUGGCCUCGAUCAGUGGGUUAAGGAUCUGGCAUUGCUGUGAGUUGUGGUGUAGGUCGAAGAUGAGGCUUGGAUCUGGCAUUGCUGUAGCUGUGGUGUAGGCCAGCAGCGGUAGCUCUGAUUCAGCCCCUAGUCUGGGAACCUCCAUAUGCAGUGGGUGCAACCCUAAAAAAACCAAAAAAAAAAAAA